GUGGCCGGGUGCGGUGGCUCAAGCCUGUAAUCCCAGCACUUUGGGAGGCCGAGGCGGGUGGAUAACCUAAGGUCAGUACUUCAAGACCAGCCUGGCCAACACGGUGAAACCCUGUCCCUACU